AUUGAACGCUGGCGGCAGGCCUAACACAUGCAAGUCGAGCGGCAGCGGGAAAGUAGCUUGCUACUUUUGCCGGCGAGCGGCGGACGGGUGAGUAAUGCCUGGGAAAUUGCCCAGUCGAGGGGGAUAACAGUUGGAGACGACUGCUAAUACCGCAUACGCCCUACGGGGGAAAGCAGGGGACCUUCGGGCCUUGCGCGAUUGGAUAUGCCCGGGUGGGAUUAGCUAGUUGGUGAGGUAAUGGCUCACCAAGGCGACGAUCCCUAGCUGGUCUGAGAGGAUGAUCAGCCACACUGGAACUGAGACACGGUCCAGACUCCUACGGGAGGCAGCAGUGGGGAAUAUUGCACAAUGGGGGAAACCCUGAUGCAGCCAUGCCGCGUGUGUGAAGAAGGCCUUCGGGUUGUAAAGCACUUUCAGCGAGGAGGAAAGGUUGAUGCCUAAUACGUAUCAACUGUGACGUUACUCGCAGAAGAAGCACCGGCUAACUCCGUGCCAGCCGCCGCAGUAA
rnacentral:rRNA from 1 species